rnacentral:rRNA from 1 species
UAGUCCACGCCGUAAACGAUGGUUACUAGCUGUUUGGGCGCAAGCCUGAGUGGCUAAGCGAAAGUGAUAAGUAACCCACCUGGGGAGUACGAUCGCAAGAUUGAAACUCAAAGGAAUUGACGGGGGCCCGCACAAGCGGUGGAGCAUGUGGUUUAAUUCGAUGAUACGCGAGGAACCUUACCAGGGCUUAAAUGUGGUUUGACAGGGGCAGAGAUGUCUUUUCCUUCGGGCAAAUCACAAGGUGCUGCAUGGUUGUCGUCAGCUCGUGCCGUGAGGUGUCAGGUUAAGUCCUAUAACGAGCGCAACCCCUGUUGUUAGUUACCAGCAUGUAAAGGUGGGGACUCUAACAAGACUGCCGGUGCAAACCGCGAGGAAGGUGGGGAUGACGUCAAAUCAUCACGGCCCUUACGUCCUGGGCUACACACGUGCUACAAUGGUAGGUACAGAGAGCAGCCACGUCGCAAGGCGGAGCGAAUCUACAAAACCUAUCUCAGUUCGGAUCGGAGUCUGCAA